CAGUCGCCACGGUAAUACGGAGGGUGCAAGCGUUAAUCGGAAUUACUGGGCGUAAAGCGCACGCAGGCGGUUUGUUAAGUCAGAUGUGAAAUCCCCGGGCUCAACCUGGGAACUGCAUUUGAAACUGGCAAGCUAGAGUCUCGUAGAGGGGGGUAGAAUUCCAGGUGUAGCGGUGAAAUGCGUAGAGAUCUGGAGGAAUACCGGUGGCGAAGGCGGCCCCCUGGACGAAGACUGACGCUCAGGUGCGAAAGCGUGGGGAGCAAACAGGAUUAGAUACCCCAGUAGUCCCUGUCUCUUAUAC
rnacentral:rRNA from 1 species